rnacentral:lncRNA from 1 species
CAUUAGUACCCAACAAAAGAACCAACCAAAAAAAUAUUAACUGCGCGUUUAAGUUACUUUGUGCUCUGUCUUUUAGAUAACAUAAAAUGUCGGUUAAUUCUUUUACUUACGGCCUUUUGAUAUUUAAAAUGCUGUAUUUUUCAAUCGCUCGCGUUUGGGCACGAUGACACUGUCAAUGUUCAGAAACUUAAACUUUUACAAAGGCGACGCAACAUGGCGGACGAUCACCGGAACGACCGCGCGAGUGGGCUAACUUUAAUUGCCCGUUAAUGGAGAGAGAUAGAGAGAGAAAAAAAAAUCUCUUCAGAUUGAACGACCUGUGCUCCCUGCCGCCUCCGUGCGUUUCAUUUUUUUCUUCUUUUUUUUUUCGCCGUUUUACUUUCAAGAAGAGUAAUCACUGGAAUGUGUUCUCCUGUAUAGCUAAAUCCUGCUUUGUUUAAUGACGAUCAGCGUAAUGAUAAAUAAAUUAGCUACCUGUUGUAAAUGCCAUUCCCGGCGGGCGGCGCUGCGGCAGCUUCUCCUGAUGUGCUGGGCGGGUUUCCUUAUUUUCUUCACCUUUUUCUCGGUUUUACGGACCAAGAUGUGAAGAAGAAUUGACUUUAGUCUAGUGCCUGAGAUGAAUGACUAUUACAAGUAGGUGGCUUCCGCACGAUAAAAGAACGCAUGCGCACCGCAGAGGCAGAAAUUUUAAAAUUUCGGUACGGAAACGGGAUGCGAGUAGAGUAUUUAAAGUUUCCGCGCAUGACUUAAGUAAAGAGCCUUGAAGGUAUGCAAUUUUUAUUCAGACUUAACUAUAUCACGCGCGAAAUAUUAGUUAGAGUCUGUUAACAAGUCAAACAACACUUUUCAUGCAUUUUCCGAGAGUAAUACACUAUUUUAUACUGUUUUUCCUUCUAUUUUUUUCUUCAUUUUCAUAGUCGGAUGUCUGAAGAAGUGUGACGUUCAGUUCUUAAACUCAUAAUGAAAUUGUCAUGGCCACGAUCUAAUUACGCACCUAUGAAAUCCGUCUCUGUCAAAGAGUUAUCAAUGUUUCUUCGUUUCUCUAACGAAAGAACGUAG